CAUAAAUAGAGGUAAAGUAGUCAAAUACCCCUCCUAAUCAAUGUUUUUUAAGAGACGUGUAAAAUAAAAAAACGACAAAUAAUUUGAGAGAUAUGGAGCAAAGUAACAAGAACAUGGGCCGCUCCAUGGCCGACGCCUCAAAUUAAACGACCCGUUAAAUGCACAAUGAAUACAACUAUCCGCUGGCACGUCGUUUCGCUUACCCAAUGUGUUCACUGUACAGAAAUAAUUUGAUCUUUUCCAAUUCCCAUGUAAAUAAAUGACGAUAAGUUGUAUGUUGCAUCUAGAAAUCUAUAAGUUGUACCAACAAGCAAGUGGGUUAUUCAUUUCUUUAAUCUUUAACAAUUAAUAAUUUUAAGUUACUGCUUAUCGUUAAUAUUUUUUGUUGAUCCCCAUGGCCAACUCCAGAGCUACUAGACACCAAGAGUUAGAGGGGAGUAGAACCAGACUCUCUAGAAUUACAUGGGCAUUCUGUUUUGAGAUUGCAUGUGCGUGAAGCUCACAGAGCAACAGGCAAUAGAGACACUUGUUCCUUUAUAGCCAGUUUACUCACUCUGGUGAACCCUGAUUUUAAAGAUGUGCUGACCAACAGGUUAGCUGAACUAGGCAUUAGAGUAAUCCACACCGUGAAAUUACCGUCCCAAGCCAAGGAGCGCUUGAUUGACUAUCAUGUUGAGGGUAAUUCUACUUAUAACAAGAUCUUGGUUAUCUUUGGCUACACCAUACUGUUACUCCUCCAGAAUGUAACCCGAGUUAACUAUAUGACAACUUCAUGACCAAAAGGAUCAAGGCAUUGCGUGCUAAAGUUGGAUGGUUUCCAAAUGGAGAUCAGAUGUUGGUACCUUACUCUUUCGCAAAGGCAGAGGCUAUUCGGUCAAUGUUAGGCGCUUCAAUGCCUCUUAAAAGAGGCAGUGAUUGAUUUUGUGAUUUUAGCAUCAACGUGUUCUGACUCGUUGGGUUCUCUAGGCUUUGGAUUCUUAGCAUGGUCCGAAAUGUAUGUUUACAAAGUCAUGUAUGAGACAUUGAUCUUGACAGGAUCUCCUAUUCUGGAAGACCCCAGGGUUCAACAUGAGGCCCUUAAUCUUUAUGAUACUCAUAACGCGGUUAGUGAGUCAGAUUAUCCACAAUUCUUUCGUUACAUUGGAGGAAGUAGUGCACAGACAAAACUAUUGAGGAGUUUCUAUUUGCUGUGGCUCAAAAUCUGACGCCCUAUAGACAAAAUUCUAACUUUGUCACUAGUAAUUUGUCUGAACAGGACUAUUAGCUUAUGAGGGACUUAAUUGAGAUUCACAACAGGGAAAUGUCUAGGCUGGGACGUACUAUGCCUCUUUCGGGACUGAUCAAUGCUCUCACUGCUGACAUUGAAAUUGAUUUUGAUUGAUAUAAACGGUGUUCGUCAAUUUGGUGGUGCUCAUCAUAUGGCCGGCUAGCUCUUUAGUUCUAAGAUAGUGAUUCUAGUAAUCUAGUAUUUUAGUCGCUUUUGUUGGUUGCCUAUGAUGAUCUUUUUUGUUUUUCGGUUAUGUUUUAAACAACCGCAGAAAAAUUGAAAAUGA